CAACAUUUAAGACGCAUCCAGACAAGCACUUGAAUUCUCAAGACACAGAAGGCUGCGCCAAAUAGUUGUCUGUGUGGAGUUCGUUUUCCCUGUGACCACACGAGUUUCUGUUGAGUUCUCCGGCUUCUUCCCACGUCCCGAGGAUGUGCUGUGGGCCUAAAUGCCUCCAAGUCUGACACUGAUGGAUAAUGGCAAAGGACCAGCUACAUUAUGCCCUAAAUCUGUCUCGGGAAACCAACCUUAAAUCUGAAAUACUUGCCAAUAAAAUCUAUUUCAAUGUCAAUAUUGUCAAAGGGUUAAGUGGAAGAGAACAGAAAGCACCUAACUCUCCCUCUGGGCUGUUUGGCUUCCCUGAUAAGACUUACAAAGAAAAUCUUCUACUGUUAGUUCUGCUUUGAAGAGUUUCACUGAAAUGGAUCCAAGUUUACUUGAUCAGAGAACCACACAGGAGCCCAAAUACCUUCUGCUUCCCCCCCCCCCCCCCCAUUUGUUAAAUAUUUUGCCGUGCAGGUUUAUUGACUUCACCCAACUCUAGCUAAAUAAAAAUAAUUGUUAUUUUCGUGCAUUUCCAAUCAUUUUGUUUUUGGAUGAGACUGCUUGGAUAUUUAACUGGAGUUCAAAUAUAUAGC